rnacentral:rRNA from 1 species
GAUGAACGCUGGCGGCGUGCCUAAUACAUGCAAGUCGAGCGAACAGAUGAGGAGCUUGCUCCUCUGACGUUAGCGGCGGACGGGUGAGUAACACGUGGAUAACCUACCUAUAAGACUGGGAUAACUUCGGGAAACCGGAGCUAAUACCGGAUAAUAUAUUGAACCGCAUGGUUCAAUAGUGAAAGACGGUUUUGCUGUCACUUAUAGAUGGAUCCGCGCCGCAUUAGCUAGUUGGUAAGGUAACGGCUUACCAAGGCGACGAUGCGUAGCCGACCUGAGAGGGUGAUCGGCCACACUGGAACUGAGACACGGUCCAGACUCCUACGGGAGGCAGCAGUAGGGAAUCUUCCGCAAUGGGCGAAAGCCUGACGGAGCAACGCCGCGUGAGUGAUGAAGGUCUUCGGAUCGUAAAACUCUGUUAUUAGAGAAGAACAAAUGUGUAAGUAACUAUGCACGUCUUGACGGUACCUAAUCAGAAAGCCACGGCUAACUACGUG